rnacentral:lncRNA from 1 species
ACUGACCAGAGGAGGCGUAACCAGGGCCUACUACAGCGCAGAAUAGGGGGCGUGGCCGCCAUCCUCCAAGUCCAUUGGUCGAUGAGAAAGAUGACAGAGAAAGGAGGCGAGGCCAGGCAGCAGCGCGUCCAGGUGGGUGUGAGGCGUCACAAGGAAAGCUGAGCAGGCAAUUGCUGCCCCGCCCACUCUGGGAAGAGGGGCGGGGCCGCCCGCUCCAGAGGGACGGAAGCGGCGGGGCCGCCGGAUCCAGGGACAAUGGGGUGGGGCGGGCUUUCCCUGGGUGGGCGCAGCGGCUUCCUGGGUCCCCCUCACGCUCUGGGUCAGAGUUCCUUUACAGGCGGACCUGAGAGGCAACUCACCGACUCCUGCCCUGGACCCUCCUGCGCCACUGAACCCCCUGACCUGGGAGCCUCGGAACCUAGGGCUCAGGAGAUGAACCAGGACUUAUCCGAAGGUACCAAGUGAACUUCUAGGAAAAGUCCAAUUCUCAGAUGCUGGAUGUCUUCCAAAAAUGAAGCAAAUUAGUAACUUAGUAGCUGAGUCAACUAAUCCUGUUAGAUGGUCAACACUGGUUUUUUUAUUUUAAUAUUUUUAAGUGGCAACUCUAGUGUGUGAGAAAAUUAAUGUGACAGCUGAAUUUGUAGAAAGCUGCUUUGACUCUCUUGGGCCCCUUCAUAAGCCCUGGAACUAAAUAAAAGUCUAGUGAAUACAGCCCCGCCACCCUCAAGCCACACCCCAUUGAUCAUUUGCUAAAGAUUUUAGUACCUGGCUCUGGCCUGCUUUCCACCGUCAACACUCACAUCAAGGCACCUGGAUCUCUUCUCCGCCGGCAAUCCUGCCUUCCGCCUUCAGGGCAACUCCUUCCAAAUCCCUGGGCUGCUGUGUAUGACUGCUGGGGUGAACGUCGCCAUGUACUCUACCCCUUACUGUGCUAUCGUUCAGAGGUCUUGUCAUUGAUGAUGAUUAAGGAAAUCAUAAAAAUGUUAAACGAAGGCCAGGCAUUGUGGCUCACGCCUGUAAUCCCAGCACUUUGGGAGGCUGAGGCAGAAGGAUCACUUGAGCCCAGAGCUCAAGACCAGCCUGGGUAACAUAACUUUAAAGCCGGAAAAUGUACUGACCUUGGGAAUAGCAAGAGAAAGUACUUCCUUUCCCUCUCCUGACACCAAGUGAUCCCAUCCCUGUGUUUAGGCCUAGUCCAACCUUCUAAGCUGUGCGUCGCUUCCAUGCUUUGGAGCAUUUUACAUAUAUUUACCCACUUCAUCCUCAAGACAAUACCAUUAAGUAUGCACGAUCAUCAACUCCAUUCUACAAAUGAAGAAACCGGCACAGUGAAGACCAAGGAAUGACCACAUGAGAACACAGCAAGAAGGCAUCCACCUGCACGCCAGGAAGAGAGCCCUCACCUGCAACUGAAUUGGCUGACUUCUUGAUCUUGGACUUCCAGCCUCCAGAACUGU